rnacentral:rRNA from 1 species
UACAGAGGUCCCGAGCGUUGUUCGGAUUCACUGGGCGUAAAGGGUGCGUAGGUGGUGAGGUAAGUCGGAUGUGAAAGCUCGGAGCUCAACUCCGAAAUGGCAUUGGAAACUACCUUGCUAGAGGGUUGGAGGGGGGACUGGAAUUCUCGGUGUAGCAGUGAAAUGCGUAGAUAUCGAGAGGAACACCAGUGGCGAAGGCGAGUCCCUGGACAACUCCUGACACUGAGGCACGAAAGCUAGGGGAGCAAACAGG